rnacentral:rRNA from 1 species
CGAAUCUUCAGCAAUGCGCGAAAGCGUGACGGAGCAAUGCCGCGUGCAGGAUGAAGCCCCUCGGGGUGUAAACUGCUGUCAGAGUUCAGCAACCCAAUGAGCAGACCCACAGGAAGGGCCGGCUAACUUCGUGCCAGCAGCCGCGGUAAGACGAAGGGCCCAAGCGUUGCGCGGAAUCACUGGGCUUAAAGCGUACGUAGGCGGAUGUGCAGGCGUCUUGUGAAAUCCCUCGGCUCAACCGAGGAAUUGCUUGGCGAACCGCACAUCCUGAGGCAAGUAGGGGUUGUCGGAACGCUCGGUGGAGUGGUGAAAUGCGUUGAUAUCGAGCGGAACGCCGAAGGAGAAAUCAGGCAACUGGGCUUGUUCUGACGCUGAGGUACGAAAGCGUGGGGAGCG